rnacentral:tRNA from 1 species
GCUGGUGUGGCUCAGUGGGUAGAGCGGCGGCCUGCGGACUGAAGGGUCCCGGGUUCGAAUCCCGGUCAGGAGCA